rnacentral:rRNA from 1 species
GAUGAACGCUGGCGGCGUGCUUAACACAUGCAAGUCGAACGGGAAUUAUUUUAUUGAAACUUCGGUCGAUUUAAUUUAAUUCUAGUGGCGGACGGGUGAGUAACGCGUGGGUAACCUGCCUUAUACAGGGGGAUAACAGUCAGAAAUGGCUGCUAAUACCGCAUAAGCGCACAGAGCUGCAUGGCUCAGUGUGAAAAACUCCGGUGGUAUAAGAUGGACCCGCGUUGUAUUAGCUGGUUGGUGGGGUAACGGCCCACCAAGGCGACGAUCCAUAGCCGGCCUGAGAGGGUGAACGGCCACAUUGGGACUGAGACACGGCCCAGACUCCUACGGGAGGCAGCAGUGGGGAAUAUUGCACAAUGGGGGAAACCCUGAUGCAGCGACGCCGCGUGAAGGAAGAAGUAUCUCGGUAUGUAAACUUCUAUCAGCAGGGAAGAUAGUGACGGUACCUGACUAAGAAGCCCCGGCUAACUACGUG